GGUAUUACCUGGCAGGAGAGCUGUCGUGAUCAUGGAAGUCCCUCUCUAGGCGUGAGGCUUAUCCCUUGCUCUCCAGAUGUGCUAACCCUGUGAUUUCUCCAGCAGUGAGAAACUCAACUACAUAUUUUGUGGUAGUGGGAAACAAUGGUCACUCUCUUCCCU
ensembl:snRNA U1 U1 spliceosomal RNA